GAUGAACGCUGGCGGCGUGCCUAAUACAUGCAAGUCGAGCGAACAGACGAGGAGCUUGCUCCUCUGACGUUAGCGGCGGACGGGUGAGUAACACGUGGAUAACCUACCUAUAAGACUGGGAUAACUUCGGGAAACCGGAGCUAAUACCGGAUAAUAUAUUGAACCGCAUGGUUCAAUAGUGAAAGACGGUUUUGCCGUCACUUAUAGAUGGAUCCGCGCCGCAUUAGCUAGUUGGUAAGGUAACGGCUUACCAAGGCAACGAUGCGUAGCCGACUUGAGAGGGUGAUCGGCCACACUGGAACUGAGACACGGUCCAGACUCCUACGGGAGGCAGCAGUAGGGAAUCUUCCGCAAUGGGCGAAAGCUUGACGGAGCAACGCCGCGUGAGUGAUGAAGGUCUUCGGAUCGUAAAACUCUGUUAUUAGGGAAGAACAAAUGUGUAAGUAACUAUGCACGUCUUGACGGUACCUAAUCAGAAAGCCACGGCUAACUACGUG
rnacentral:rRNA from 1 species